rnacentral:rRNA from 1 species
CCUACGGGUGGCAGCAGUGGGGAAUAUUGGACAAUGGGCGGAAGCCUGAUCCAGCAAUACCGCGUGUGUGAAGAAGGCCUGAGGGUUGUAAAGCACUUUCAAUUGGGAGGAAAAAGGUUGGGCGAAUACCCCGACCCUUGACAUUACCUUUAGAAGAAGCACCGGCUAACUCCGUGCCAGCAGCCGCGGUAAUACGGAGGGUGCGAGCGUUAAUCGGAAUUACUGGGCGUAAAGCGUGCGUAGGCGGUUAUUUAAGUCAGAUGUGAAAGCCCCGGGCUUAACCUGGGAACUGCAUUUGAUACUGGGUAACUAGAGUUUAAUAGAGGAGAGUGGAAUUUCAGGUGUAGCGGUGAAAUGCGUAGAGAUCUGAAGGAACAUCAGUGGCGAAGGCGGCUCUCUGGAUUAAAACUGACGCUGAGGUACGAAAGCGUGGGUAGCAA